CACAAGUCCACACACACGCAAAGAGACACAACCAGAUCUACUCUAUCCCAACUUCAUUUUUUAUUUUUCUAGAGAUAGAAAGACAAAGAGGAGGUCAUAGGCAUUUACCGCGCGUGCUGAUGGAUGAGAAGUUGAUACAGCGAUUGGAGUCCGCCGUGUCAAGGCUGGAGGCGCUUUCAGUCGGCGGCGGUGUUUCACUUGGAGAUGGAGAAGCUGCGGCGGCUUUAGAUCCAUCCAUUAUUGCAUUUGAUGAUCUGAGGUCACGGUUCGUCGGUAGAGUUUGCACUGCUGCAGAGAAGAUUGGUGGACAGGUUUUGGAUGUCACUAAGAUUGUUGAGGAGGCUUUUGAAGCUCAGAGAGAACUUCUUAUCAAAAUCAAGGAAACUCAGAAACCUAGCAUGUCUGGUUUGGCUGAAUUUCUUAAGCCUCUGAAUGAUGUGAUAGUGAAAGGUACUAAAAUGACAGAAGGACGGCGAUCUGAUUUGUUCAACCACCUGAAGGCUGCUGUUGAUAGUCUAACAGCCCUGGCAUGGAUCGCAUACACUGGAAAAGAUUGUGGUAUGAGUAUGCCUAUUGCACAUGUGGAAGAAAGCUGGCAGAUGGCAGAGUUUUACAAUAACAAGGUCCUUGUGGAGUUCAGAAACAAAGACCCAGAUCAUGUUGAAUGGGCAAAAGCUUUGAAAGAGAUUUAUCUCCCUGGCUUGCGGGAUUACGUUAAGAGUCACUACCCAUUGGGCCCCGCGUGGAGUGCUACAGGGAAAGUAGCUGUAUCUGCACCACCAAAAGCUCCCGCACCAAGUCGUCCCAUGCCUCCUCCACUGCCACCAGCUUCUUUAUUCAGCUCGGAAUCUCCCCAGGCUUCAUCAUCACGCCCCAAGAAAGGGAUGUCAGCUGUUUUUGAUGAAAUUAAUUCGGGGAAGCCAGUCACCGGUGGUAAUGCUCUGCUAUAUUCCCUCCCUUUUUAAUGUAAGACAGUUUUACCCUUGGGUUGAUUUUUUUUGGGUCCAGGAUUGAGAAAGGUGACAGAUGAUAUGAAGACAAAGAAUCGUGCAGAUAGAACCGGUGUCAUUAGUGCAGGAGAAAAGGAACGUCGCGUUAGCUCACCAUCUUUCUCCAAAGCUGGACCUCCAAAACUGGAGCUUCAGAUGGGUCGUAAAUGGGUGGUUGAGAAUCAAAUAGGAAGAAAGAAUCUAGUCAUUGAUGAUUGUGAUGCAAAGCAAUCUGUCUAUAUUUUUGGGUGCAAAGAUUCAGUCCUGCAGAUCCAAGGGAAAGUCAACAACAUAACAAUUGAUAAGUGUACUAAAAUGGGAGUUGUAUUCUCGGAUGUUGUGGCAGCUUGUGAGGUUGUCAACUGUAAUGGUGUGGAGGUUCAAUGUCAGGGUUCAGCACCGACUAUUUCAGUUGAUAAUACAACUGGAUGCCAAUUAUACUUGAGCAAAGAUUCUUUGGGGACUUCCAUUACAACAGCCAAGUCAAGUGAAAUUAAUGUUUUGGUUCCUGGUGCAGGGGCUGAUAGUGAUUGGGGGGAGCACGCUUUGCCACAGCAGUUUUCUCAUGUAUAUAAGAGUGGCCAAUUUGUGACUACACCCGUCUCACAUUCAGGAGGUUAACCGGUGACAAUCUCCACCUUCGUAUGCCUUUUCUUACUAUAUACCAAUUUGAUUUUUCUAGAAGAGCUCAAAGGGUGGUUGAUUAUUUUCUUUGUUGAGUGUAAGUUAUGUUCUGAUCAUUGUAUCUUUUGCCUUUUGUCCACAUCCUAUGGUGGCUAUUUUUUCCAAGAUGAGACUCUGUGACCUUUUCCUGUGGUCACACGUCUGGCUUUUUUUCUUCGUUUUUUUAAAAAAAAAAUUAUUUUGUAUGAAGAGCUUGAUUUUUGUAAGGUAUAAAUUUUCUUGGCAGAUAUCCCUUUUAAAUUUUAAAAUAGUGAAGUGG
rnacentral:misc_RNA from 1 species